AACGCCGCGUGAGCGAUGAAGGCCUUCGGGUCGUAAAGCUCUGUUGUUAGGGAAGAACAAGUACCGGAGUAACUGCCGGUACCUUGACGGUACCUAACCAGAAAGCCACGGCUAACUACGUGCCAGCAGCCGCGGUAAUGCGUAGGUGGCAAGCGUUGUCCGGAAUUAUUGGGCGUAAAGCGCGCGCAGGCGGUCCUUUAAGUCUGAUGUGAAAGCCCACGGCUCAACCGUGGAGGGUCAUUGGAAACUGGGGGACUUGAGUACAGAAGAGGAAAGCGGAAUUCCACGUGUAGCGGUGAAAUGCGUAGAGAUGUGGAGGAACACCAGUGGCGAAGGCGGCUUUCUGGUCUGUAACUGACGCUGAGGCGCGAAAGCGCGGGGAGCAAACAGGAUUAGAUACCCUGGUAGUCCACGCCGUAAACGAUGAGUGCUAAGUGUUAGAGGGUUUCCGCCCUUUAGUGCUGCAGCUAACGCAUUAAGCACUCCGCCUGGGGAGUACGGCCGCAAGGCUG
rnacentral:rRNA from 1 species